UACCGUAGAAGCUUUAUGCAGCUGUCAUGUGAUGCAAAAAAUGUCAACAUCAGCGUACACUUCACCAUUAGACCAACAAAUUACAACUAAAACGUGUUUUUUCUUCACGUACAAAAAAUAACAUGCUGUAGUGCUUACUUGUGGAAGUGAGAACUUGAUGUUAGCUGUGUAUUUCUCGGCUGUCACUGCAGAGGAUGGCUGUAUCUCACACUGGCCAGUCCUCCCUUGUACACAGCUUGGCCACACUCCUCCGAAAUGAUGGUGACUUGGUGCUGGAUGGCAGCAGCACGCUGACCUUGCCGGCAGCCAGCUUGCAGCACCUCACCAGGCUGUUUGAGCAGUACUUGCUGUCCAGGAGCCAACAGCAUGGCUUCCUGGCACUGCCCUCCCACCCCGCAGAGACUGCUUCCCUGCUGCAGCUGCAGUUCCUGUUUGAUGUCCUGCAGAAGACCAUCUCCCUCAAGCUCAUCAACCCACCGGAAGUGAGACUUCAGUCUGUGGUGAAAAUCUUCCCGUUCAAGUCACUGAAGUGUUUGGAGCUAAAGAGAAUCCCGCCACACUGUCUGGAGGGACUCAGAGGAGUUUACUCCCAGCUGGAGGUCUUCACCUGCUCAAAGAGCCUCAGCUCCCUGGAGGAAUUACUUUCUCUCUGUGGAGGUGACCUGAGCUCCGCACUGCCUUGGCUGGAGCUGCACACCCUUAACUUCAGCUACAACCACAUUGUCUGCCUUGACCAGUCACUAAGUUUACUAAAUGUCCUGAAAACUCUGGAUCUAAGCCAUAACAAGAUUCAGGAGUGUGCUGAAUUUCUAAAGCCCCUGAGUGAACUGGAACACUUGAACCUGGGCUACAACUGCCUGCAGAGGGCGCCAACGCUGGGCCUGAGUGCCAGGGUCAAACUCCUCACACUCAUCCUCAGGAACAAUGAAUUGGAGACUAUAAAUGGUGUGGAGCAGUUGUCCUCACUCCAGCACUUAGACCUGGCCUACAACCUCCUGUUGGAGCAUUCCCAACUAGCUCCUCUCUCCUUGCUGCACUGCCUCAACACACUUAAUCUGGAGGGCAACCCGCUGUACUUCCAGAAGACCCACCGCACCUCCACCGUCCGACAUCUCUCCCCAAAGGCUGCCAAUCUCCGACUAAAACUUGAUGGUAUCCAGCUCUCCUCAUAUGAGUUAUCAGUUCUGCCCAAAUCAGGUCAACUGAUAACCCAGGUCCAGACUUUGCCUCCAGUUGCCAUGCCAUCAGAGCGGAGUAACCAGGAAGUAUCCAGCGGUGCUGGGGAGCUCAGUGACAGUGUAUCAGUUGGAGAAGUGGGGGUUGCACACAUUCGCAAGAAGAAAUCCAGGAGUAAGGUCAAAGUACGGAGGGCCAGCAUAUCUGAGCCCAGUGACACAGAUUAUGAACCCAGACAGCCUUCCACACAGAGCAUUGUCCUUCCCCACCAGCAGGAGAUUGAGCGCAUGUCUAACUUCAGAGAACAGCUGGGGGACGAUUGGCUGAGGUACCAGCACCAUCUAGAUGGAGGUUCCCCCUCUGCCAUCACAACCACUGUCAGCACCAGCCAGCCAACCCCUCACCAUCAAAAUCUCCCCAACGGCCUCAGCACCACCACCCCGUGUCCAUCCAGCAGCCCCGGGAAGCAGCUGUCUCCAUCGUCGCUGGAUGUCCCGGAGAUCCUCCCGCCUCCUCUUCUCUCCUCUGAGCCCAGGGUUGAGACUUGUGAUGUGGAUGGAGACCAGGAAACAGAUUCCACCCUACAGUGGCCCGGUCAGGGCAUACAACACACAGAGUCCACCCUGGAGGACAGCACGGUGGAUGGUCUGGUGGUGAGCCAUGGAGUCAAUAGCUCUUCUGGGCCAAGUUUAGAGUCCCAAAGGUCAGCUAGAGCAGACAGCAGAGGCACUAAGGAAGAAGAAGAGGAGGAGGACCUGGGAGUGAACCUGUGUCACCCCCUACUUGUGGGUAUCUUAUUCGACAAAGAGGAGGAAGACAACAGUGGCCGGGGGGUCAAGGAGAGGAAGAGGAGGGAGGUGUUUCUGUGCAUAAAACAGGGCCUGGUGCUGGAGGUGGACAUGCAGCGUGGCCAGGAGAGAUGCCGCCUGGAGCUGGACAGCCUGGCUCGGGUGGAGACCACAGAGGCCACAUGGGUCUGUGGGGAUACAGAAGAGAUGCGUCCAGCUGUGGAGCUUCAGUUCGACUACAUCAGCAGGGAGAAAAGGAGGAGACGCUACGUCCUGCUGGAUGAUGACCCACAGCAGGCACUACAGGCUCUGAUUGAUGUGCUGUCUCCUGUGGCGGAGGAAAACCAGCGCCGUGACUCCGAGCUGCGCCCCAGCUGUGUUCGCCUGCAGUGCCUUCGCUGCAGGUCAGAGUUUGAACUCCAGGGAGAAGGCAGUGAAGAGGAGGCGGGAGGGAGAGCGAGGCGGAGAGGGGCAGCGAUGCUCCCCGAGGGUGUGGAGGAACAGGGCGGGGAGGAGCCGAUGACAGAGGCAGAAUGUGAUGAUAACAGCAAAGGAAACAGUAAUAUUUGUCCAGAAUGUGGUAGUGAUCAUGUGGUCCAGCUGGCUGGCCUAUCAACUCCCUACAGCAGUACACCCAUCCACCGUCCAUCAAGGCCCGACAGUGAGGACGAUCAUCUUGAUGUAACCCAGAGCACCUGCAGUGCUAAUAAGGACGACUAUACAGAUGCCACAAUGAGCAGCAGUCCCAUCCUGGAGACUGCCACCACUACGGAAGAUCAAACCUUUGUCACUGCCCAGGGAAGCUCCUUCUUCAUCGGGGACGCUCCUGGUGAUAACUACAGCCUGUCCUACAACACAGAAUGCCAAAGUAAAGAAGACCUGGCUGGAAGCUACCACUACACUGCUACUGGUGCGACACCACCUCAAGUCCAAGCCCAGCCUGCAGGAAGAUCCACUCCUAUCGAUGAUGUGGACCUGCUGUCUGAGGACUAUGAAGCGGUGGAUCACCGGCUGAAGCUUUUCCUGGACGUGGAGGUCUUUGAGGAGGAAGAAGAGCUUCACUCGUUCCUCAAGAUGUCAGCUGUCAAAUUUGGGGAGCCAGGGGAGGUUCCCUCUCUGUUGGUGGUGUCAAACCAGCGAAUCUAUUUCCUGGAAAUGACAUCAGAGAUGCACAGAGGCCAGCUCUCUGACUGGCUGCAGAAGAGGGACAGCCACCCAAUCAUGGAGCUCAGCUACCUGGAGGUGGGGCUGGGGUCUCAGAGCAUCCACAUGGAGUUCGGGGACCGGGGCAUGGCCUACACCCUCCUCGUGAGAGACAGUUUACGUUGCAAGCGCUUCUUUGGCUUGUUGACAGGGAUUGUGCGUGAGAUGGCUCACAAAUCAGACAGCAAGCUGAAGUCCAUCUCUACCACAAGACUCAACCCUCAGCACCACCUCUGGCCUCUGGUGUGCGAAGACAUCCAGGCAGAUGUGGAGGACGGCCAGCUGCAGUUUUUCUAUAUUCUGGCUUUUGUCCUGCAAGAGGACUUUUGGACACCGUUGACAGUCCUGGCAACCCGGGAAACCCUCUACCUGCUCAAAGAAGAUCACCAGUGGACGAAAAGCUUAACAGGGAGGGAAAACAAAGAGCCGUGCAGUGGGAGCGUUGCCGUUUUAGAAACUCUGCCAAUCAGCUGUGUGAGCUCAGUCCACCUGUGGCCUUCAGAUGAAUGCAGGAUAGAUAUUAAGCUUUACGACGAGACUGUGAAACAGGAGAAGACGUGGUGUGUGCGCUCAGAGAGCACUGAGCUCCUUCAGGGUCUGCUGGCCUGGGUCAGAGCACAGUGGGAGGCCAUGUUCGGAGUGAAACUGCACACAACCCUGCAAGACAAAGCAGCAUAAUGGGGGAGGGCAUGAAAAAAAAAGGAAAAAGUUAGAGACUAUGUGUGUGUGCCCCAUUGUGUUUUGUGAGCAUGAAUCUGAGUGUUGGUACUGGGAAAUGUUUAGUGAGCGUGAGCGAGUGUGUCUUUAUUUUCUCUGUACACAGUCUGCACUCAGUCUGGUCCCAUUAGGCUCGUUGCUUUCAAAGUCUUUUAAGCCAAGAACUUGGAAAUGAUUGCUCUCAUUCAUGUGGUACACAAGCAUGGUUGCAUAAUUUUUCCUCCGGAUACCAUCCCACUGAACUUUUCUACAGCUGAAAAUGGAGUGUGCCUUGUUUCUUUUGCCGCUGCCAUGUUUCUUAUUGAAAUGCACCUUAAUGCAUCUUGUAUUGUCCCUCAUUCAUUGUAGCAACACGGAGCAGAUUUUAGGGGGUUUGGAACUGAGAGAGCAUUGUUGGAAAGAUUUUUGGGGGAGUAAUGCAAGAAGCUGAGCCUUAAACAUGUCCACCCCCUCUCAUUAAUCUGGACAGUCUUUCCUCGCCAUCUUAGGGUGCAGUGAGUUGUGGCAUCACGCGCUCAACACGAGGCUGGGGGUGCUUCUGAAAGGCCAAGGCUCAAGUCCGUCAUGGAGGAUCACUUCACACCAGUUAGGGUCACAUGAUGUGUCUCUGCACUGUGUGUGGUUUUCCUUUUCAGAGUCCAGUCACACAUUUACUGACGGAGAGAAAGAUUUUGCUUGCUCACUUCACAACCGCAGCAUUAAAAGUCUUUCCAGAGAAAUGUUUAUUUCCCCCCACACAGAACAGAGUGACACCACAAAUUGUCAUCCACAUCAACAAAACGCACUUUUUGGCCUCUCAACGCCAACCUGCCAUUCCCACCCCCCCAAGCGAAGCUCAUUUUGAGUCCAAGCUCAGCUGUGUGAAAGAAGAAGGUCAAAGGUCAGGUGCAGAACAUCACACUUGGAGCUUAAAUGGACACAGUGUCUUGCUCAAAGACACCUCAGCAGGGGAGGCCAGGGAUUAAAGAAGAGUCAAAGUGUUGUGAGUCUCCUCCAUCCUUCCAGGAACAACCUUCCACUGAUGCAAUACUGAAUCCUUUUGUUUUGGGCCUACGACAUGGUCAAAUUAAUGAGCCCAGAAACUCAGGCUUAAAAAAUCCAUGAGUCAUAACGACUGCACGCCACGAAUUUAUGUCACAGUUUUAUGUUUUGGGAGGAAACAAGCAAUCAAACCUGAUACUAAAACAUAACCACAACAUGCGUGCAUUUAGUAGGGAGGAGGCAGUGAGACAUGCAGGUGGGCAAAAAUCAAACGUGCUCCUCACCAGUGAGUCCUGCCCUUAUUCAAGCAGUUAAUAUAUGCACUGCAGGAGGGUAGGAAGGAAUUUUGAGCCCCCACGAGGCUCUCACCCCACCCCCCAUUCCCAUUUUGGCUUAAAUUGCAUAACCUUAGUGUCAUUUUGUGGCCCCCGGCCAACUAUGAGCACCCAACUGUCCCACCUUUCACCCCUCUGCAGCACAAAUUCAGUGAUAUUUAGGAUGUUUAUCAAAGAAUCUAUGAGUGAAAAUGCAAGAUUAAGACUCCUUAAGAUAUUGACUAUUUUGUCUGUGAAUAAGUGAUGGUGAAAAGGUGGAGGUGAAUGAGUUCGUGCCUCCCUUGGAUCAUAUUUGAGGACCAGAGGAAAGCUAGGGUGGAUAGUUAGUAUGAGAGGAAGCUGGGAUGCAGCCACAGCGAUUUGGCUGGGCGCAGACAUCUGGCCUGAUUCGACUUCCCACAGCCUCCUCCAAACAUUUCAGGUCCUCUGGUAAAUCAGGAGCACUACAGCUGCACUGUGCAUGACAGCAAGAAAUCUGUUGUUUUGCUGAACGCUCAAGUCAACUAAAUUCUUGGAUGGUGGGCCUCUUCUUCUAAAAGCUGCAGUCACGCAGUGCUCUGUCAGGGCCGGUGGGCUGCCAAGCUGUGGUCCAGGGGAUAACACGGGGUCCUCAGCAGAAAGAGGAAUGAUUAGAUUAUAGUGUUGUGGCACUCAGUGUACUUUUUAGCAUAAAAAAAACAAGAAUGUAAACAGAUAAACAGAUUCUAACGAUACAAAUCCUCUCAAGUGGAGUUCUUCUGGAUAUGAAAGUGGUUUAAGGGGCAUUCCACAAAUUUUACACGUCAAGAUCAGUUAAAGUUACAUAGAGUGCCAUUUAGCCUUUGAAAACAGUUGUAUAAUGUCACGUGUGGCUGUGGAGAAGCUUUGUAAAGUCAGGGAAAUCAUCGGGGCUUGUGUGCAAUUAAUCUUUUUUUAUGAAUUCAAUCAACUUUCAUAAGAAAUGUAUUUAACUAUAUAUGGAUUUUAUUAUCAGUGAUGGUUGAACUUUAUUUCAUUUGGCAGCCAAGUGUAAUAAUGUGCAGUUCCUUUAAGAACUAUAGAAAGGUCAUAGUGGCUUUAUUGUGCCUCAUGGUAUUUUUAUCUCCUAUGAAAUUUCUAUAAAGUCCCCAUGGACGCCUGAGGUUUAACUGUGACACUUGUAUAGCAUCAUCACAUUAUAAAACAUAUAAUAGGA